AACGAACGCUGGCGGCAUGCCUAAUACAUGCAAGUCGAACGAGACCUUCGGGUCCAGUGGCGCACGGGUGCGUCACGCGUGGGAACCUUCCCUUAGGUUCGGCAUAACUCUCCGACAGGGGUGCUAAUACCGGAUCAUGUCUUCGGCCCAAGGAUUUAUCGCCUUUGGAUGGGCCCGCGUUGGAUUAGCUAGUUGGUAGGGUAAAAGCUUACUAAGGCGACGAUCCAUAGCUGGUCUGAGAGGAUGGUCAGCCACACUGGGACUGAGACACGGCCCAGAAUCCUACGGGAGGCAGGAGUGGGGGAUGUUGGACAGCGGGCGGAGGCCUGAUCCAGCAAGGCCGGGUGAGUGAUGAAAGCCGUGGGGUUGUAAAGCUCUUUUACCCGGGAUGAUAAUGACAGUACCGGAAGAAUAAGCUCCGGCUAACUCCGUG
rnacentral:rRNA from 1 species